rnacentral:rRNA from 1 species
AGCAGGGGGAGCUUACCAUGCAGUCGAGCGGUAACAGGGGUAGCUUGCUACCCGCUGACGAGCGGCGGACGGGUGAGUAAUGCAUAGGAAACUGCCCAGUAGUGGGGGAUAGCCCGGGGAAACCCGGAUUAAUACCGCAUACGUCCUUCGGGAGAAAGCAGGGGAUCUUCGGACCUUGCGCUAUUGGAUGUGCCUAUGUCGGAUUAGCUGGUUGGUGAGGUAAUGGCUCACCAAGGCGACGAUCCGUAGCUGGUCUGAGAGGAUGAUCAGCCACAUCGGGACUGAGACACGGCCCGAACUCCUACGGGAGGCAGCAGUGGGGAAUAUUGGACAAUGGGGGCAACCCUGAUCCAGCCAUGCCGCGUGUGUGAAGAAGGCUUUCGGGUUGUAAAGCACUUUCAGUGAGGAGGAAAAGUUAGUCCUUAAUACGGGCUAGCCUUGACGUUACUCACAGAAGAAGCACCGGCUAACUCCGUGCCAGCAGCCGCGGUAAUACGGAGGGUGCAAGCGUUAAUCGGAAUUACUGGGCGUAAAGCGCGCGUAGGUGGUUUGAUAAGCGAGAUGUGAAAGCCCCGGGCUUAACCUGGGAACGGCAUUUCGAACUGUCAGGCUAGAGUGUGGUAGAGGGUAGUGGAAUUUCCUGUGUAGCGGUGAAAUGCGUAGAUAUAGGAAGGAACACCAGUGGCGAAGGCGGCUACCUGGACCAACACUGACACUGAGGUGCGAAAGCGUGGGGAGCAAACAGGAUUAGAUACCCUUGGUAAGUC